rnacentral:rRNA from 1 species
UACAGAGGUCCCAAGCGUUGUUCGGAUUUACUGGGCGUAAAGGGCGCGUAGGCGGCCACGACAAGUCACUUGUGAAAUCUCCGGGCUUAACUCGGAACGGUCAAGUGAUACUGUCGGGCUAGAGUGCGGAAGGGGCAACUGGAAUUCUCGGUGUAGCGGUGAAAUGCGUAGAUAUCGGAAGGAACACCGGUGGCGAAAGCGGCGCGCUGGAUCUCUUCUGACGCUGAUGCGCGAAAGCCAGGGGAGCAAACGGG